rnacentral:tRNA from 1 species
GGCUUGUGGCUCAAGGGUAGAGCACUCACCUCACAUGUGUGAAGCCCUGGGUUCAAUACUCAGCACCA